AACUGAGGCACAAAGAAGGAAAGGAAUCUGCUCAAGGCAGUGAGGAAAAUCUUUGGCAAGGUUUACAACUUCCAAAAGAUCAUCUGAGUUUCUGCCAACUCUCUUGAUACCCACGGUGCUCUCUGACAGAAGACAGUGACAUGACAGGAAUGGUGACACAAGGCUCUUACUGUUACAUUCAAUAAUUGAUUCUUCUGGAUGGAUUGUGACUCCCUAAAGGUUGCAAAGAGAGAUGAUUAGUGGACACCGACAUCUAAAUCAGUAGUAAAAAGAAAAGCAGGAACCCAGGACAGUGGGGAAGGACUCCAGCAAUGCAAAUAUGAGUUGAAUUAUCCUGCUACUUAUCAAGAAGAAAAGAAGAGCAAAAGAUCAUUGGUUUAAUGGACAUGCUUUGGAUUUACAACUGGCAUCCUAGGAACAGAAUUGUCCCUGUGGAUGUAGAAAUAUCAUGGUAACACUGCCCAGAGAGUAUUAGUUGAAGAAGGAUAGCAGUGACUCCUGGGUGAGUGUCCCCUGAAUCUGCUGCUGUUCUGCAGGACCCAGCAGUAUCCCAGUUUCAAAAUAGAGAGAGUGCAAAAUUCAUCCACCAGCCUUUGCCAUGUUGUGAACAUCCCCAGUCUGUUUCCUCUGGAAGAACUCCAAGUGACUUGAAAGGGAUAAAGAUGAGGAACAAAACAACAACCUUCCUGAAACUCUGGAAGAAGGAGAGAAUGGUGCAUCCUCUUGCUGUUUCCUGCCAUGCCUUGCUAUUCCAGCUUCUCCCAGAUGGAGCAAAGACCUUUAGAAGUUUGAGGGACACACAAAUGACAGAACCUGAAUUAGGAAGAGGCUGCACCUUCCCAGUUGUGCCAACAUGCCACUUGUGAACAGAGGCUUUGAACACAUGCCACAUAAGGCAAGUAGAAGAAUACAAUGAAGAUUUUUUUGUUUGCUGG